UGAAAUCGGAAAAUAUUAGCUGGUAUUACAAAAAUUACAGUUUUUCUAUAAGCAAAUCCAGUUUUAUCAAAAAUUUGAAAUAUUAACGGUCAAACUGCUUUCACAAACAAUGCACUGCUUGUGCACUGUUUGCAACACACAUUCAGUAAACGCUGUCAAAAGUUACUUCUUCUUGUUGGCAGGUGGCGCUUCAAGAGCAUCCGUUGCAUUUAAAUUUACUUCGUGUCCCUUUCUUAAGUCGCACAACUCGGGCCAAGCUCCAGCAAGUGGCGUCUCUUAAAGCUGCAAGCACAAACAUUGUUUUAAUUACGCACAACAAGCGGCCAGAAGAAAUAGACAAGUUUCUACACUUGACAAAAAGGUGUGGUACGUUUCUAGCAAAAGUUGGGCUUUUUAAAAUGGUUUGCUUAGUGGUUUGAUAGUUUUCUGAAUCUAUAAAACAAACAUAAGCAGGGUUCGAUUAUGGGUUACGGUUCGAUUGUUUUUAGGGCGAGUACCUUGGAGCUCAAGAAGGGUCCAGAUAAAUGCCAGAUAAAUGUAAAGGAAAGCUUUUUCAAAAAAUGCAAGUUCCAAUCGCCUUGAAAUCGAGUUCCACAAUAAUAUUUGUUAUAGUUUUAGUACAGAAUUAUGCAGUAUAAACCGAUUUAAAUUAUUGUAUAUUGAAAUUCUAUUAAAUUAAAUAAAAUUUUUAAAAAUCAA